UACGAAGGGGGCUAGCGUUGUUCGGAAUUACUGGGCGUAAAGCGCGCGUAGGCGGUGAUCUUUGUCAGAGGUGAAAUCCCGAGGCUCAACUUCGGAAUUGCCUUUGAAACGGGAUCGCUUGAGUCCGAGAGAGGAUGGCGGAAUUCCUAGUGUAGAGGUGAAAUUCGUAGAUAUUAGGAAGAACACCGGUGGCGAAGGCGGCCAUCUGGCUCGGUACUGACGCUCAGGCGCGAAAGCGUGGGGAGCAA
rnacentral:rRNA from 1 species